UACGUAGGUGGCAAGCGUUGUCCGGAAUUAUUGGGCGUAAAGCGCGCGCAGGCGGUCCUUUAAGUCUGAUGUGAAAGCCCACGGCUCAACCGUGGAGGGUCAUUGGAAACUGGGGGACUUGAGUACAGAAGAGGAAAGCGGAAUUCCACGUGUAGCGGUGAAAUGCGUAGAGAUGUGGAGGAACACCGGUGGCGAAGGCGGCUUUCUGGUCUGUAACUGACGCUGAGGCGCGAAAGCGUGGGGAGCAAACAGG
rnacentral:rRNA from 1 species